rnacentral:rRNA from 1 species
UACGAAGGGGGCUAGCGUUGCUCGGAAUCACUGGGCGUAAAGGGCGCGUAGGCGGUUCGAUAAGUCGGACGUGAAAUCUCCACGCUCAACGUGGAAGGGCCGUUCGAUACUGUCGUGACUCGAGUCCGGUAGGGGAGUGUGGAAUUCCCGGUGUAGCGGUGAAAUGCGCAGAGAUCGGGAGGAACACCCGUAGCGAAGGCGGCACUCUGGGCCGGUACUGACGCUGAGGAGCGAAAGCGUGGGGAGCAAACAGG